GAACAACCUCAGAGCGCUAGGCAAUCCUUUAUAAUUAACUGUUAUGGCAUAAAGGAAUAAUAAAUUAAAUCUAUGGAGGAAAAAGCGUUUGAUAAGCAGAAAACAUUAAAUAAAAUGAAUAACCAUUUAAAUUACAGAUGGAUUUACAGAUACACAGCAUCUUUUGCACUAUAUUGAAAACCUGAACUUACAUAAGUAACAGAUCUUUGGAACAGAUAAAUGUGGAAAUAUUGGCAAAAUUAAGAAAAACGAAAAAAUAUUCCUGAAUAUGAAUAAAGCUCAUUAAAGAGCCUAUAUUUGAAUUUCCAUAUUGACAUAAGAAAAACAGCAAAUUAGUUUGGAAUUUCGUUCUCCAAUAAAACCAUUGAACAAGCCAUGAAUUUAGUCUAAAAAUGCAUGCAUGCAAUUUCACGCGCCACUUACCCAAAACUAUUAUAUCCAGAUUAAACAGUCCUUUCAAUAAUAGCCCUAUGAACCGAGCUGCGGACACAGUCAUUGUGUUAUAAUCAUAAUGUGACCCAUUAAAUAAUUUAUGUUUCCUAAUUACCGAGACAGUGACUCUCUGCCCCCCUCUGGUGAUCUAACCUGUCGUACUCAGUUUGAAACUGGGUAUUUGUGUUCAGCACCCGCAAUCUCUCUCGAACAUUAACCAUUUUUGUGCUGUAUCAGAGAGCGCGCGCGCGAGAGAGAAAGACAGAUGUAGCCUACUUGCGCGCUUACAGAAACAUAUUUUCAGAAUACGGGCACGACAGAAAUGGAAAAACGACAUCCACUCGCAUGUGAGGAAUAGUGAAGGCAACUCCGCGUUCCUGCGCGCUAUUGCGGUGAUGGAGCUCAAAGCACUUGUAGCUGCGCUCCGUGUAUCUGAUGCUGAACAAUGCUGAGAGUCUGGCCUCAAAAUGUUGGAAUUGGGCACUUGUUCGGUCAGCACUCAGACCCUCUCUGACCGCAAUGCCCUGGCAGUCCCGACUUUCAGUCAGGGCAUGUGUGGAGGGAGCCUGCCACCGCAAAGUUUCCUCCUCCAGCCUCAGGACCCAGAGAGCUGGCUCAAGCACCGGGGAACCCUGGAGGACAGCUCCCACUCCUGUUCACUCCUGGAGCCCCAGAGCCUGGUUGACAGCUUCCUGUCCCAUGCAUCCAGUUUUGACACGCUCUAUGUCCCCCACGCCCAUCCCAUGGGUCUGGCACCAUCCUCCCUGGAACUUGGAGGAUCAUGCGAGGGGGCGGCCUCGUUGUGUCUGGACCCCGUCAUGCCCGUCAGCCCGAAUAUCAUUAAACGGCGCAGGGGGGGACUCAUUGAACAACGGGACAUUGUUAAAGCACACGAGGCACACAAGAUCCAGAGCACCCCACAGGCCCGGCGCAAGGAAUGGGAGUAAGUGGCACAUGAACGCACACAGCAUGCAAUUUAAUAAGCUAUUUGAACACUUUGUAGAAAUUUCUUAUUUGCCAGGCUUUUAUUGGUCAGACUACUUAAAGGAAUACUUCACCCAGAAAUGAAAAUUCCAUAAUUUACUCACCCUCAUGCCGUUCAAGCCAGUUUGAAUAAUACAUUUUAAUAAUGUUCUGGUUCACUGCCAUUACUGUAAAGGGUUCUGAAGCUUUCAAGCUUUAAAAGGUGCCAUGAAAUUAUCCUAAAAGUAGUCUUCUGAAGUCAGACGAUACUUUUGUAAAACGGACAGACUGAAAUGUUGGACAUUCUUCACUUAAAAGUCUGUUCACGAGAGAAGUAGCAAUGUCUGAUUCACCAGCAAGGGGAAUGGGGUCCUCCUCAGUAGAAAUAGCAUUCUGGCCCCCUCUCCCUUGUCGGUCCCUUGGAAUCAUCCUAACCUGUGAGGGAUCGACAGUUGUUAAACCAGGAGAAAAGUGGGCAGAAAAUAAAUAUUUUAUACACUAUGAGCUUACUUGUUAUCACUGCCUUGUAUGGUACAUGUCAUAACACUGGGAAAUUAUAGGUGUGUUGCAUCAAGCAAGAUUUUCAGUACAGUCA
rnacentral:lncRNA from 12 species